AGAGUUUGAUCAUGGCUCAGGAUGAACGCUAGCGGGAGGCCUAACACAUGCAAGUCGAACGGGAUCCCCGAGCAAUCGGGGUGAGAGUGGCGCACGGGUGAGUAACGCGUAUGCAACCUACCCGUAACAGAGGGAUAGCCCAUAGAAAUGUGGAUUAACACCUCAUAGUUCUUAUUAGUCGCAUGACUGACAAGAUAAAACUCCGGUGGUUACAGAUGGGCAUGCGUGACAUUAGCUAGUUGGUAAGGUAACGGCUUACCAAGGCAACGAUGGUUAGCGGGUCUGAGAGGAUGAUCCGCCACACUGGAACUGGAACACGGACCAGACUCCUACGGGAGGCAGCAGUGAGGAAUAUUGGACAAUGGGCGCAAGCCUGAUCCAGCCAUGCCGCGUGCAGGAAGACGGCCCUAAUCGGGUUGUAAACUGCUUUUUAUACAGGAGAACACUCCCUCGUGAGGGAACUUGACGGUACUGUAUGAAUAAGCACCGGCUAACUCCGU
rnacentral:rRNA from 1 species